rnacentral:rRNA from 1 species
AUUUCCCAAUUAGUAAGACCCCUUGAAGACGACGAGGUAGAUAGGUUGGGGGUGGAAGUGCAGUAAUGCAUGGAGCUGACCAAUACUAAUCGGUCGAGGGCUUAUCCUAAAA